UGUCUCCUCUGUCCAUCUCAGCCUCUGACAGCAGUGGCAUACUUCUUUCCUUUUGGUGGCUAAACUUUUGGCAGAGCAGAAACUUCAAGGCUUCUCACAAUGAGCUUCUUCUCAUUCCUGCCAGCAAGUGUUGCCAGAAUAUUUGGUCUGGGCUUCCUUGGAACAUCCUCAUUCUUGGACACCAAGCCAAGUGCUCCACGAAAGUCAAGGUCUCACUUAUCUCAACCAGAAUGGAAGUCCAAUAGCUACUCAUGGGCUCAACAUCACUGCAGAUCUGCACAAAAGAUUUGACCAGCUCCGCUGCUCUCCCUAAGAAAUCUGGUGCCCCAUCCUUAUCCUAGAGGCUCAUCAUAUUGGCACUUUACUUGGUGCACAUAAUCAAUGGCUUUAGCCUUAUUGCUGCUCAGAACUCCUGAACCCAAGCCAGCCUCAGCCUCCCUAGGAGCAGGA